rnacentral:rRNA from 1 species
UACGGGGGGGCAAGCGUUGUUCGGAAUUACUGGGCGUAAAGGGCUCGUAGGCGGCCAACUAAGUCAGACGUGAAAUCCCUCGGCUUAACCGGGGAACUGCGUCUGAUACUGGAUGGCUUGAGUGUGGGAGAGGAAUGCGGAAUUCCAGGUGUAGCGGUGAAAUGCGUAGAUAUCUGGAGGAACACCGGUGGCGAAGGCGGCAUUCUGGACCAUUACUGACGCUGAGGAGCGAAAGCCAGGGGAAGCAAAGCGGGGAUUAAGAAACCCGUA